rnacentral:rRNA from 1 species
ACGUAGGGGGCGAGCGUUAUCCGGAAUUAUUGGGCGUAAAGGGUGCGUAGGUGGCCUUACAAGUCUGAGUUGAAAGCCCACGGCUUAACCGUGGAGGGUGCUCGGAAACUGUAAGGCUUGAAUCCAGAAGAGGCAAGUGGAAUUCUAUGUGGAGCGGUGGAAUGCGUAGAUAUAUGGAGGAACACCAGUGGCGAAGGCGGCUUGCUGGUCUGGGAUUGACACUGAGGCACGAAAGCGUGGGGAGCAAACAGG